UACAGAGGGUGCGAGCGUUAAUCGGAAUUACUGGGCGUAAAGCGCACGUAGGUGGCGAGGUAAGUCGGAUGUGAAAUCCCGGGGCUCAACCCCGGAACUGCAUUCGAUACUGCCUUGCUUGAGUACUGGAGAGGAGAUUGGAAUUUACGGGUGUAGCAGUGAAAUGCGUAGAUAUCGUAAGGAAGACCAGUGGCGAAGGCGGAUCUCUGGACAGUUACUGACACUGAGGCACGAAGGCCAGGGGAGCAAACGGG
rnacentral:rRNA from 1 species